rnacentral:misc_RNA from 1 species
AAUUGGUAUAACUUUGCAUAAAUUAGAUCAUAACUUGUUCUCAUUGAAAGGAUUUAAACCCAAAGCUUUUAUACUAUUUCUUUUCCUCUCCUUUCUGUCCUUCGUUCCUGAGGGUUCAGUCUUGUUGUCUGUUGUUUAGUGGUUUUCCAUGCCCCGAUGGUACAGGGAGACUCUUCUCACCCGUCCCGAGGUGGGUUUAUCCGCCUUUUUUUGAAUGGGGCUAUAUGGCUUGCAUUGUCAACUGGGUGUUCUUCGGUGGGGAAUCUCUUUUGUGUAGGCUAUAGCCGCUUUUGAUUCCUCGGUCGUUACUCGGUAUUAGUUCAUUUUCUUUGGUUGGUUUGGCUGGGUUACGGGAGUGGAAGGUGGCGCUUUCUCCUCUACUCAUCUCUUCUGCAAUAGGUUGGAGUUGCUCCAGUAUCUAAGAUUUUGUUCUUGGUUUCUGACCUUGUUUUUCCUAUUAGACUAGGCUGGCUGAUAAGGCGUUUUUAGUAGGACUUGGGCUUCUUAGCUGGGGUUAUUAUUGUAUGUUCUUUGGACUCUAAUUUUAGCUAGGGUGAACUUAUGGAUCUAGACUAAUGGUGUUUUUUGAGAUGCUUUUUGGAUCCUUUUUAUGUUUCGGGUU